GGCCAUUAUUAUACUUGCCUUAUUAGAGUGUCUUUCCAUGGAGCCGCUCCUCUGACUCAGGGCUCCUGUGUUUUGUAUUCUCUGAGCUGUGCAGAUGGGGAGACUGGGCUGAAGGAACCUCACCCCCAUGGUCAGCCCUAGGGUGGAGAACCACCAGGAGGGAUGCCUGUGGGUGCCAGGACCAGUCAACCUGGGCAAAGCCUAGUGAAGGCUUCUCUCUGGGAUGGGAUGGUGGAGGGUCACACGGGAGGCUCACCCACUUCUCCAUCCACAUGGGAGCCAAGUCUGCCUGUUCUGGGAGGGCAGCAGGGCUACCCUGAGCUGAGGCAGCAGUGUGAGGUCAGGGCAGAGUGAGACCCAGCCCUCAUCCCGAGUACCUCCACAUCCUCCACGUUCUGCUCAUCAUUCUGUGUCUCAUCCAUCAUCAUGUGUGUCCACGACUGUCUCCAUGGCCCCGCAAAAGGACUCUCAGGACCAAAGCUUUCAUAUAAACUGUGCACCAAGCAGGAAAUGAAAAUGUCUUGUGUUACCUGAAAACUGUGCACAUCUGUGUCUUGUUUGAAAUAUUGUCCAUUGUCCAAUCUUGUGUUUUUGUUCAAAGCCAGCAUCCUCCUCUGUGACCAAUGUCUUGAUGCAUGCACUGUUCCCCCUGUGGAGCCGCUGAGCGAUGAGAUUCCCCUUAGAGUGCAGUCCUGAUCAGAGCCGUGUUCCUUUGGGGUGAACUACCUUGGUUCCCCCACUGAUCACAAAACCAUGGUGGGUCCAUGGGCAAAGCCCAAGGGAAUUUGGUGUGCACCAGGGUUGACCCCAGAGGCUUGCUGCCCCAUCAGUGCUCCCUCACCUGUCAGUACCUUCAAACUAGGGCCAAGCCCAGCAGUGCUUGCAGAAAACAAGCAUUCACAACUUGUUUUUGGUUUUUAAAACCCAGCCCAUAAAAUAAUCAAUCCUGGACGUGAAGAUUUCUUCCCAAUUCACAUCUAACCUCAUCUUCUUCACCAUUUGGCAUUGCCAUCAUCUCCUGCCUUCCUCCCUGGGCCCUCUCUGCUCUGCGUGUCACCUGUGCUUCGGGCCCUUCCCACAGGACAUUUCUCUAAGAGAGCGAUGUGCUGUGCAAAGAGUAAGUCAACCUGCCUGACAUUUGGAGUGUUCCCCUUCCACUGAGGACAGUCAAUAGAGCUGUACUAAGCCACUUAAAAUGUUCCCUUUUGACAAAGGCAAGCACUUGAGGGUUUUUGUUUUGUUUUUCAUUCAGUAUUACUAAUACUUUUCCCCUUUGAUUAAAGACCCCAGUUUAAAAAAAAAUUAAUGAAGAAAGUGGAAAACACGAAAGUCAAAGCAAGGACACUGUGUGUAACAUGUAGGAAGUAGGAAGUAAAUUAUAGUGGCGUAAUCUUGAUUUGUAAAUGUUUUUGAAUUUAAUAAUCUGUAGAGUUAUUAGUAACGUGUUAAGUAUUUUCAUAAGUAUUUCAAAUUGGAUCUUCAUGACAGAAGGCAAAUCCAUCAACCAAAAUUGUCCCUUAAACAAAAAUUAAAAUCCUCAAUCCUGCUAUGUUACAUUGAAAAGCUAGAGCCUGAGGGAUCUUUAUUAGUUAUAAAGACACAGAACUCUUUCAAAACCUUUUGAAAUUAACCUCUCACUAUAGCAGUAUAAUUGAGUUUUCAGUGGGGCAGCCAUUAUCCAGGUAAUCCAAGAUAUUUUAAAAUCUGUCACGUAGAACUUGGACUUACCUGCCCCCAAUCCAUGAACCUAGACCAUUGAAUUCUUGGUUGAGGAAACAAACAUGACCCUAAAUCUUGACUAAAGUCAGGAAAGGAAUCAUUUCUAUUUCUCCUCCAUGGGCGAAAAUAGAUAAGAGUAGAAACUGCAGGGAAGAUUAUUUGCAUAACAAUUCCUCUGCUAACAAUCAGCUCCUUGGUGGAGACUGCCCAGCUAAAGCAAUAUGCAUUUAAAUGCAGUCUUCCUUUGCAAGGGAAAAGGCUCUUGUAAUCCAAAUCUCUUUUUGCUUUCAAACUGCUAGUCAAGUGUGUCAGGGAGCUGUUGACUAGGGAUCCCUCAUCUGUCCUGGGACCUGGUGUUGCCUCUACCUGACAUUCCCUUGGGCUCCCAGUAACCUCUUUGGAGGCCCUCACUGCCAGCUCUGCAUCAGGACCCAGAGGAAGGGGCCAGAGGCUUGUGGACUGGCUGUGUGUUGGGAUUGAGUCUUUGCAACGUGUUUGUGCUGCUGUGUGUCCCCCUCUGUCCAGGCACUGAGACACCAGCGAGGAGGCUCCAGAGGGCACUCUGCUUGUUAUUAGAGAUUACUCCCUGAGACAAAAGGUUCAGCUUGGAGCAGAGGGGCUGAAUAGCAGAAAGUUCCCCUCCUCCCCCACCACCCACAACCUUAGAUGUUCUAAGUCUUUCCAUUGGAUCUCAUUGGACCCUUCCAUGGUGUGAUCUUCUGACUGGUGUUAUCACCAUGGGUUCCCUGACUGGGAGUUGAUCACCUUUCCCAGGUGCUACACCCUUUUCCAGCUGGAUGAGAAUUUGAGUGCUCUGAUCCCUCUACAGAGCUUCCCUGACCCAUUCUGAAGGAGCCUCAUUCCUGGGAAAUACUCCCUAAAAACUUCCAAAUCCCCUAAGCAGACCACUGACAAAACCAUGUAGAAAAUUUGUUAUUUUGCAACCUCGCUGAACUCUCAGUCUCUGAGCAGUGAAGGAUUCAGUGUUAAAUGUGACGAAUACUGUAUAUUGUAUUGUUUCAAUUGCAUCUCCCAGAUAAUGUGAAAAUGGUCCAGGAGAAGGCCAAUUCCUAUAUGCAGUGUGCUUUAAAAAAUAAAUAAAUAAGAAACAACUCUUUGAGAAACAACAAUUUCUACUUUGAAGUCAUACCAAUGAAAAAAUGUAUAUGCACUUAUAAUUUUCCUAAUAAAGAUCUGUACUCAAAUGUA